rnacentral:lncRNA from 1 species
GCCAAGGCUUUGUUUGGCAGUAAUUGGUGGAUGUAAAAAUUGGAGGAAGGCACAGGAAGUGACACAAAGGAAUGUGCCUUUAAAAAGGAGUUACAACUUCCAGUGGGAGAGAAUUUUGUCUGAGAUCUUCAGAGAGGACUUCAGCUUCUUCUGGAGUUCUGAGUUUGAGUUGGAGGCUGGUGAAGAAUCUGCUUACUGGACCUGAGACCUUGAACUUGUUGUGACUGUUCUUAAAUGUCUCCCUUUCGACUGACACAUGGUGACACCGAAUGCCAACAUUGACUGGGGAACAAGGAAAGACGCAAGAUGAAGCCUUCUUUGGGUUUAGAGAUAUCAGAGAACUAGACGAAUCAGAGUUAUUGUUAUCACACCAUGAGUAGGCACUGUGUUAAAUGAUGUGGCUCUAAAGAAGAAGGUCCUGGCCGUCAGGUGUUUACUUUCUAAAAGAUCAUUCCCCCAUCAGAAACCAGGCAUCCCAAUGGAUAGAGCCCUUGGCCUGGAGUCAAGGAAAUGAGCUCAAGUCCAGCCUUGGACAUUUAUUGGCUGCAAGAUCCUGGACAAGUCACCUAACUUCUGCUUUCCUGAGUUUUCUCAACUGUAAAAUGGGGAUAAUAGCAGCAUCAACUUUCAUGGUUGUUGUGAAGAUUAAAUGACACAACAUUUGUAAAGCACUUAUCAAAAUGCCUGGC